rnacentral:lncRNA from 1 species
GGAAGAUUUUGCCAUCUUACAAGCCCUCUUCCUUAAGAAAGAGAAAGAUGAGCAGUAAAUAUCCUCUGGCACGUCGGCACAUUCUGUCUCUUCGUGUUUUCAUGAAGUGUUCAUGACAUGGGAUUGAAGUACUCCUUUGUGUUCAGUAUUUGAUAUCAAAUCCUUUACAAAUCACUGGGAGAAUGGUAGAAGGAAUGAUGAGCUUUCCCUGAAGGUUCCAGCUUCUUCCUGC